AACCUUGUUGAUAUUAUCAGACUUGUUGCAAGGUUGUUCCAACGGGUCCGAUACAGUCAUGAUAUAACAAUAAUGUUACAAUAUUGUGUCAUCAACUUUAUAACAUUCUUGUUAUAUCAUGACUGUAUCAGACUUGUUAGAACACCCACCUUGUAACAAGUCUGAUAAUGACAUCAAGCUU